CAGCCACUCGAUCCAACCUCAUC
rnacentral:siRNA from 1 species